GUUACAGCAACACGGUUAUUCGCUUUAGUUUUGUGCGCUUCGCUGUUUGCUCCUUCAGACGCACCAAUUCAGUGCAUUUUCCAGCAGAGAUCUUUGUGAGAUCGCAGGUCAGGAGGAUGACAGCUCGAGUGUAUUGCUCGUUGAUUGCUGUUUUGUAUUGUCUGUCCGGAUACUUGAGCACUACAGACGCUCUUCCAAGAAAAAACACAGUAAAGCCCGGAGAGUGUCCACCCCAAUCAUCUGGAAUGAAAUCGUGUACCACGUCAUGUAAAAGUGACUCUAACUGUCCCAACAAUGAGAAGUGCUGCAGCAAUGGAUGUGGACAUUACUGUACAGCUCCGUAUACAGUGAAGCUGGGUCAAUGUCCCAAACCGAAGAUUCAAGCAUGUGCUGAAAGCUGUUUCCAUGAUGGCCAGUGCCCUGCCACACAGAAAUGUUGCCCAACCACCUGUGGUCAUGCAUGCAGUGAACCUCGUGGUCAGGGAAGUGGUUGGGGAAGUAGUCAAGGUCGCGGAAAUGUUAAAGUAAAAGGUCAAGGCAAGUGGUCAAAGAAA